ensembl:lncRNA
AUGAUCCCUCUGUCAACAAUCUUACAAAAAACAAAUCUCGGCUAUCAAACAUCUAAGAAUUCUCACAAAAUUUCACAUCUGAUGUACAUGGAUGACCUGAAGCUAUAUGGAAAAAUGGAAACUGAAAUCCAGUCUCUGACUAACACUGUCCGAAUCUUUAGCACUGAUAUCAGCAUGGAGUUUGGCUUGGACAAAUGUUCGACAGUGGCACUGAAGAAGGGAAAAAUCAUUGAAAGUGAGGGCAUAAAUAUGCCUAAUGGCCAAACAAUAAAGUGUCACCAGCCAGAGGCCUAUAAAUAUCUGGGCAUACUACAGCUGGACAACAUCAAGCAUGAACAUGUGAAAACUGUGGUCAGCAAAGAAUACACACAAAGGGUCAGAAAAAUUCUCAAAAGCAAGCUCAAUGGAAGCAACACCAUCAAGGCCAUAAACACCUGGGCCAUACCUGUCAUAAGACAUACUGCUGGCAUCAUAAACUGGACACAGAUGGAACUGGACAAUUUAGACAGAAAAACAAGAAAACUCAUGACCAUUCAUCAUUCACUGCACCCUCGCAGUGAUGUUGACCGGCUGUAUCUGCCUAGAAGAUCAGGGGGCAGAGGACUCUUACAAGUAAAACAAGCAGUCAAAGGAGAAGAACAUGCCCUGGCAAAAUAUGUAAAGCAAAGUGAAGAACCUGCUUUGAUUGAAGUCAAAAAUCAGAAACUUCUCAAAGCACAGCAGACAAAAAACCAGUACAAGAAAGCCACACUACAAACUAGAGCGGACAGCUGGCACAACAAAACAUUGCAUGGAAAGUUCCUUGACAAAAUUGAAGGAAAAGCUGACAAGGAGAAGACCUGGCUCUGGCUCACGAAUGGGACCCUGAAGAAGGAGACAGAAGGCCUGAUCCUUGCAGCCCAGGAGCAAGCCAUCAGAACAAAUGCAAUCAAGGCCAAGAUCGAAAAAUCAGCUGAUGACCCAAAAUGCAGACUGUGCAAGGAAACCGACGAAACCAUUGAUCAUAUCCUCAGCUGCUGUAAGAAAAUUGCACAGACAGACUACAAACAGAGGCACAACUAUGUGGCCCAAAUGAUUCAUUGGAACUUAUGCCUGAAGUACCACCUCCCAGCAGCAAAGAACUGGUGGGAUCACAAACCUGCAAAAGUAUUGGAAAAUGAGCAUGCAAAGAUACUGUGGGACUUCCGAAUCCAGACUGACAAAGUUCUGGAACACAACACACCAGACAACGCAGUUGUGGAACAGAAAAAGGUUUGGAUCAUUGAUGUCGCCAUCCCAGGUGACAGUCACAUUGAAGAAAAACAACAGGAAAAACUCAGCCGCUAUCAGGACCUCAACAUUGAACUUCAAAGACUCUGGCAGAAACCAGUGCAGGUGGUCCCAGUGGUGAUGGGCACAUUGGGUGCCGUGCCAAAAGAUCUCAGCCAGCAUUUGGAAACCAUAGACAUUGACAAAAUUACGAUCUGCCAGCUGCAAAAGGCCACCCUGCUGGGAUCUGCGCGCAUCAUCCGAAAAUACAUCACACAGUCCUAG